GGAAGAAAGAAUUUUGGCACACGACACAAAAUCAUACGAUGGUUUUAGGCCUUUUGGUUGGGGCACGGGUAACACGUAAGAACAAAUUCUUAGAAACCAAGUUUACAAACAUAUUGAUGAGUUAAUACAGGACAUUACUGUCUCUGUGGGCGUUCAUAAAGACAGACAAAUAAUAAAACCUUUAAAUAUUAAGCCGUCGCCACUAGAAAUUCUCGAAACCGUUGUCUGCGCCAACUGAGAGAUUUCGUUUCAAUCUCUGGCUCUGCCCUAUAAAUUCAUCUAAAUUGUCCCUUAAAUGUUCCAUCUCACCAUAAAAUUAAUUCGUUCUAUUUCCUUUUGAUUAGAGAAAUUAACAAGUACAAGAAAUAUGAGUUAUUUCAGCAGAGUUUGUAUGGCUGCAACCGUGGCUAAGGUCGAAGGGCAAAGUGAUCAAUGUGGUAAAUAUGGUUCCGGCUUAAGAACCCGUCCUUGUGGUAAUCUUCGUCCGAGAUUUAUUAAUGGCGACUUUGAAUAUUCCGGUAGAAGCGAGGGCGGGGACGAUAAGCGAAAACAGAUUGAUGAAUCACUUCAAAAGGUCAUGUAUAUCAAUUGUUGGACUCAGGGUUAACUAUUAAAGAAAUCGGGUUUGUCAAAAAUAUGGAAAUAUUUCCGUAUCGUUAACAAUUCGUAGCUCAUCGCCCGAGUAAGAUGUGCAAAGCGAUUGAUGAUGGUGGUCAAGAUGAGAUGGAAGUAUUUCCAGAAAAUAAUGGUUGAACAGGUUAAAAGCAGGAAAAGUGUGGAGAAACUGAAUUAACAGCAUUUGGUUCCUUUUUUUUCCCCUCCAAAUUGUCCAUUCAUGUUUGACACAUGUCACCCCUCUUUUGUAGCAUUUCUCAAUAUUUCCGCAUCUUUAAUAACAAUUUGUAGCUUAUCAGCGUCUCGUAGACCAUAGACAGAAUAGAAGAGCCAAUCAUUAGGCUUCUUCCGGUGUUGAUUAGUGCGCAUUAGAUCUUUUGGUAGAUGUAACAAGGAACAUAAUGAAAACAAGAUUCUUGUAAUUUCUUGUUUUAUUUUCCUAAAAUGAAACGUUCGCC
rnacentral:lncRNA from 1 species